rnacentral:misc_RNA from 1 species
CUUCUUUUUAACUUUAUUAAAGGAAGGCUCUUUAUUUUCAAAAAAAAGAAAAGAAAGCGCAACUUGGAUACAUAACAAAACAAAUAAUAUGAAAAGGAUCGAUCCCAAACCACCCCUUCCACAGAAAUCAUUCAACCCCUUUACAAGCAGAGUUAGAUCUCAUUACUGAAACGAAAUUAACCAUAAAAUCACAGCAGCAACAACAGAUUUAUCGCUAUUGGUUCCAAAGCAAAACAGAAAAUGAUGCUACAGUAU